GAACACUGACCAACUGGCCUGGUUUCAGGAAAAGAAGCGAUGCAUGUUUUAGUAAGAUGCUGUCUGUGGGAAUCACUCCACAGAGGGGGCAUAUAUGCAGCCUCAGCUCAUACUUGCAACCGUAAAGGGGACUGAGGCCAAGACCAAGAAGCUGGAGCUUGUACAACUUGACUGGAUGUUUUCUCAACAGAAGAGGUCCUUUCUAAAGACUAGCUACUCUUCAUCAAAUGGUAGUUGGAUGAGGUACUCAUUAAACUACUAACUAAAUUGUAAUCAAAGGGAAGAGAGACAGAAUCAACUGACAGAUUGAUGAAAUGAAUGCCAUCCAGCGCAAGGAAAAUAUUAUAUGCUAUUAUUCAAAAGACAAAGUUUUGGAAUGGAAAAAGUGGCCCUUUGAAAACUCUCUGCAGAGCUCAGAAUGCCUUACAGGGUCUUACAGCUGAAGACUGCCCCCGCCCCGCCCCCACAGUACUUAUUUCGUGAGAUUCACAGAAACUUUUGACAUAUCUCUUUCACGUCUGCUGUUUUCUCUGACUCAAAGGAGCAUGUGCACCCUGUUUUCUAAACCUGUAUCUGUCCUCGUAGGAGAUUGCCUGGUCUUCCUUUAUCUCCUCAUCUGGGAUUGGCUAUUCUUCCCUAUCUAAAAAGAUAUUUUCUUGAACUCUUAACAGGCUUUCUUGUAAGAGCAGAUGCUUGUGAACAGUGAUUGACAUAUAGUCCCUAACCUCAUUGACCAGACUAAAUUUCUCCCCAGUCUCAUUCUCCUCAUUUCAUACGGCACAGUUUAUGUCCAUGGCAUCAUCAUGGUAUGAACCACUCUGUCAAAAGCCCCCGAUGCCUGCCAGUGUGGUUGUUUAGAACCAGUUUCACCAUGGAGACAAAUUAAGACAAUUUUCCUGAACUUGAAGCUUGGUUAUAUUUGCUCUGUUACUGAUACAGUAACUAACAGUCAACCUGUGACAAAUGAAGGAACCCAGAAGGUUAAAAUCUCGAGCUGAUCAGAAGUAAAAGAAGAAAAGAUGCCAAAGAUAAACGUGAGGACUCUAGGCAUAACGGCAGGACCAUAAAGACCAGCACAUCUUCAGUUUAUUUGACAACAAGAAAAAACAAUCAUUAACAAGAAUAAGGAAAUUAAUGACGUCAGAGAACUGAAGAAAGUUUUGGAAAAUUUUAAGUAGUUGCCCAAAAAGCCUGCAGUUCAUUAGAAAAAUACACCGCAUUUGCACAAAAGGAUCUGUAAUGAUUAUCCAAUUAAGGCUUAAAAACAGAUAAAUUAAUUAGAACAUUAGUGUAGCUUUUUGAAGAUUCUUCAAAAAUUCUUAGUAGCACAGAAAAUAAAGGAAUCUCACAAAUUGGUC